rnacentral:rRNA from 1 species
CAGAGCCGCGGUAAUACGUAGGGUGCAAGCGUUACUCGGAAUUACUGGGCGUAAAGCGUGCGUAGGUGGUGGUUUAAGUCCGUUGUGAAAGCCCUGGGCUCAACCUGGGAAUUGCAGUGGAUACUGGGUCACUAGAGUGUGGUAGAGGAUAGUGGAAUUUCCGGUGUAGCAGUGAAAUGCGUAGAGAUCGGAAGGAACAUCUGUGGCGAAGGCGACUAUCUGGGCCAACACUGACACUGAGGCACGAAAGCGUGGGGAGCAAACAGGAUUAGAUACCCCUGUAGUCCCUGUCUCUUAUACA